AAAGUAGAAAAUAUCACCAGAUGCUUCCUGCCCUUGAACAUCGACCUCCAAGUUCUUCAGCCUUGGGACUCACACUGGCUUCCUUGCUCCUCAGCUUGCAUAUGGACUAUUGUGGGACCUCACCUUGUGAUCGUGUACCUCACAAGCCUUCUUGUGCUUAGUAAUAGUAACCAGCAUUUCAGCAUUACACUUGGAGGUCAUUGUAAAGCGGAAAUCAAAAUCACCAAUAAAAAGCAUGAAAAUGAACAAAUGUGGCACUCAAUUGACCCUGAAAAGGAAACUUGGCUAUAAUAUGAGCACUGGAGUAAGAAGUCAGUCACCUUCCUUGACCUCAGCUGGGAGCAU
rnacentral:lncRNA from 13 species